rnacentral:rRNA from 1 species
AGAAUGGCCCGSUCCCAUAGCUAGUGGUGAGGUACGCUCACCAGCACGAUGUAGCGCUUGARRGGGGUGGACGCCCACACUGGGACUGRGAACACGCCCARACUYCUACGGGAGGCAGCAGUCGGGAAUWUUGSSCAAUGGACGGAAGUYUGACGCAGCGACGCCGCGKGAGCGAUGAAGGUCUUCGGAUCGUAAAGCUCUGUCCUUGGGGAAGAAGGCGAAAGCUUGACGGUACCCAAGAAGAAAGCCCCGGCUAACUACGUGCCAGCAGCCGCGGUAAUACGUAGGGGGCGAGCGUUGUCCGGAAUUACUGGGCGUAAAGGGUGCGUAGGCGGCCCUUUAAGUCGGAUGUGAAAGCCCGCGGCUUAACCGCGGAAUGGCAUUCGAAACUGGAGGGCUUGAGUGUCGGAGAGGGUAGUGGAAUUCCCAGUGUAGCGGUGAAAUGCRWARAUAUUGGGAGGAACACCAGUGGCGAAGGCGACUACCUGGACGAUAACUGACGCUGAGGCACGAAAGCUAGGGGAGCAAACAGGAUUAGAUACCCUGGUAGUCCUAGCCGUAAACGAUGGGUACUAGGUGUGGGUGGUUUCGAUACCAUCCGUGCCGUAGUUAACGCAUUAAGUACCCCGCCUGGGGAGUACGUGCGCAAGCAUGAAACUCAAAUGAAUUGACGG